rnacentral:tRNA from 1 species
UUUCUCGUAGCUUAGUAGUCAGAGUAUUGGUGAGUAAAGUCAAAGGUUCCGGGUUCGAUUCCCGGCGGGGAUG